AAGACGAUAUAAUGUGUUCUUUUUUAACCGGCACGAUACAAUGUGUUAAUAUUAGUUUUCAAUUCUAACUUCUAAUUUAAUGAUGAUUUUUUAUUCCAACUUCUGAUGCUGAACUAUAAGGACCAUUACAGACAUCACCGAGACACCGAUAGUGGGAUAACUUCUUGGGACUUUAACUAAUCAUGGACAAUCUAAGUGUCUAUGGCUAUCUCGACGGUAACUUGCAGAAAAUUACAAAGGUUACGUGUCUUCGAGAAAAAAAUGUAAUUGUGGUGAUUCAUGAUGAGCAAGAAGUUAAUAGUAUUUUUAUGCAUGGGGUAUGCCUACCAAUGCCAUUAUUACUUUACUCCCUAUGUACUGUAAGGGGUCAACGAAUUGAUAAAAGGGAUGUGGUGCCAUACAGUACAUACCUUUUGAGAAAAUGUAAUUCUCAUAUCAAUGUUGAAGGUUGUCAUGGAAUAAAAUUUAUUAAAUAU